GUCAACACCUGUCUGCUCAUCGGAGUUAUCUUCUUCGGAACUUCUCCGCAUGAGCAUCAAGUCAUAAUCGGUAUGGGCUCGCCUUGUAAAACUCGAACUUCAUCUUCCGGCAUAUCUUCCAUCAUCAGACUACCACACGUUUCCUCCGCACCCAAUAAAAAUAGAAGUUCAAUAAUCAAUUCGUCACACGGAAACAAGACCUACAAGAUCUAUAGCCCAGCAUAAAACUUUAAUGAAGGUUCUCAACGUAUGCAUCUCAUCGGCCUGCCUACUUCGGCUACCGGAUGCUCCAGGAUUUGGGGCUUUCUUUGCCGUCGCUGCUCU
rnacentral:lncRNA from 1 species